UGAAUACGAGAUGCUACGGCGUCGAAGCAGUCUAUGUCAUACUUCCAAAAAGCUCGCACUGUCAUAAACAAAUAAUGCCUGUACCAUAACCGACACAGGUGGGUAGGUAGAGUAUACUAAGGGGCGCGAGAUAACUCUCUCUAAGGAACUCGGCAAAAUGACUCCGUAACUUCGGGAGAAGGAGUGCCUUAUUUAUAAGGUUGCAAUAACAAGAUCCAAGCAACUGUUUAUCAAAAACACAGGUCUCCGCUAAGUCGUAAGACGAUGUAUGGGGGCUGACGCCUGCCCAGUGCCAGAAGGUUAAAGAGUUGGUUAGCAUUCGCGAAGCUGAUAACUGAAGCCCUGGUGAACGGCGGCCGUAACAAUAACGGUCCUAAGGUAGCGAAAUUCCUUGUCGGGUAAGUUCCGACCCGCACGAAAGGCGUAAUGAUUUGGAUACUGUCUCGGAGAGGGGCUCGGUGAAAUAGACUUGUCUGUGAAGAUGCGGACUACCUGCACCAGGACAGAAAGACCCUAUGAAGCUUUACUGUAACUUGAGAUUGAAAUUGGACUUUACUUGCGCAGUAUAGGUGGGAGGCGUUGAUAAUAUUCUUGCGGGAUUAUUUGAGCCAUCAGUGAGAUACCACUCUUGUAAUGUUAGAUUUCUAACUUUGUAUCAUUAUCUGGUCAAAGGACAGUUUCAGGCGGGCAGUUUGACUGGGGCGGUCGCCUCCUAAACGGUAACGGAGGCGCACAAAGGUUUCCUCUGAACGGGUAGAAAUCGUAUCUAGAGUGUAAAGGCAUAAGGAAGCUUGACUGUGAGACCUACAAGUCGAGCAGGGACGAAAGUCGGUCUUAGUGAUCUGACGGUGCUGAGUGGAAAGGCCGUCACUCAACGGAUAAAAGUUACUCUAAGGAUAACAGGCUGAUCUCCCCCAAGAGUUCACAUCGACGGGGAGGUUUGGCACCUCGAUGUCGGCUCAUCGCAUCCUGGGGCGGUAGUACGUCCCAAGGGUUGGGCUGUUCGCCCAUGAAAGCGGUACGCGAGCUGGGUUCAGAACGUCGUGAGACAGUUCGGUCCAUAUCCGGUGUAGGCGUUAGAAUAUUGAGAGGAGCCUUCUUUAGUACGAGAGGACCGAGAAGGACAUACCUCUGGUGUACCAGUUAUCGUGCCAACGGUAAACGCUGGGUAGCUAUGUAUGGAGUGGAUAACCGCUGAAAGCAUCUAAGUGGGAAGCCCACCUCAAGAUAAGUAUUCUCAUC
rnacentral:rRNA from 1 species